UACAGAGACCUCAAGCGUUAUCCGGAUUUAUUGGGCGUAAAGAGCGGGUAGGUGGCCAUAUUAGUCAGAUGUCAAAUCUUCGAGCUCAACUCGAAAACUGCAUUUGAAACGGUAUGGCUAGAGGGUGUGAGAGACCACUGGAACUCAUGGUGUAGCAGUGAAAUGCGUUGAUAUCAUGAGGAACACCAAAGGCGAAGGCAUGUGGUUGGCGCACUCCUGACACUGAGCCGCGAAAGCGUGGGUAGCGAAUGGG
rnacentral:rRNA from 1 species